CCUACGGGGGGCAGCAGUAGGGAAUCUUCCACAAUGGGCGAAAGCCUGAUGGAGCAACGCCGCGUGAGUGAUGAAGGCCUUCGGGUUGUAAAACUCUGUCAUUCGGGACGCGGUACCGGAGGAGGAAGCCCCGGCUAACUACGUGCCAGCAGCCGCGGUAAUACGUAGGGGGCAAGCGUUGUCCGGAUUCAUUGGGCGUAAAGCGCGCGCAGGCGGUGAUGUAAGUCUGAGGUGAAAGCCCGAAGCUCAACUUCGGGACUGCCUUGGAUACUGCGUCGCUUGAGGAUAGGAGAGGCAAGGGGAAUUCCACGUGUAGCGGUGAAAUGCGUAGAGAUGUGGAGGAACACCUGUGGCGAAGGCGCCUUGCUGGCCUAUUUGACGCUGAGGCGCGAAAGCGUGGGGAGCAAACAGGAUUAGAUACCCUUGUAGUC
rnacentral:rRNA from 1 species